AAUAUUCCAAAGUUUCGUUGCGAAAUGUUGUAAAAUGCGGAUAACAUAGCCUUGCGAAAUUUGCAAUUUUCAGUCAUUUUGUAUUACAAACGGGAAAUUGAUGCCCCAACACCCGAUUGGGCUGGCAAUUUCCCGUGCGUAAUACAAAAUGACUGAAAAACGGCAAACUUUGCAUGGCUAUAUUAUCCGCAUUUUACAACAUUUC